AUGGCGGAGCGGCACAUGUCCACUUUUGCUGAAUGUUGUUUUUUAUUUUUUUUCUCUUUGGCAGCUGUAAUAUGACGUCGUUUCUCAGUUUAGGUUUGUUUCUCCUUAUCUCUCCCUUGAUUGCCCGAUUUCUCUCCUUUGCGACUGUAGCAGCUUCACAUAUUCCCUGCGUUUCAGCUUCUUCACAUGGCUUUUCCGGCGUUGGCUAUCACGUCACCCGUCAACUAUUACAUAGAUUCAUUUGCCUAUAAAUGCUCACACAACCCUCACUCCAGCACCAUUCACACAACCCCUUGCUGCAGAAAUUGCAUUAACUAUGGGUCAAUCUGAUUAUUUGGUUGAUGUGAUUGGCUUGGUAGGUGUUUCUGAGGAGAAGCAGUAUCUGAAGAGUUUCAAAGUUACCAGGGUUAUACAUAUUGAACUAACAGAUGACAGGUAUUCAUGGUCCACCUUCACCCAUGUUUAAAUCAUGUUGUUAGACCCAUAAUUGAAGCUUUGCCUAAUCUGGAACUAUAAGUUUGUAGUAAUCUUUAAAAUAUUAUCCAAGUCUACUAAAAUAUGUGUAUUUUCAUUGAUCUAAUCGUUAAUGAGUUAUUUCGUUGAUUAUGUUUAAGAACGAAUUUGACUACAUUAAUAAAAAAUUGUUUUUCUCAUCCCAUGAUUACUUAUCUUGAUUAGUUUUUAGUGCUCUUGAUUAGUUUUUAAAUAGUAUGCAUCAAAGGUAAAUGUAGCUCAGGAUUUCCCUAAAUUGUAUUUAGAAUGUGUUAUAAUAAGGAUCAUGUACAUAUCAGUACAGACUGACAUUCUCUGUUCUAUAUUUUUAUGUUUUUUUUGGGAUAGUUAGCAAUUAUCAGAAGCAAAACGGAAGCUAUUAUUUUAACUCGAACUAAGUGAUAAGAUAAAAGCAUCAUUUUGAUGCAUUCAGGGAAAUUUCAAUCUAAUAGGAUUAACCCCUUAACCUUUUAAAACAAGUAUAAAUCAAUAUAUAUUGCACCAAAUGCUCUUCUGGUACCAUCAGAUUUGCUUUACUGCAAUGCUGGAUUUAUAUAGAAUACAAAAUGGGAUUAUAUUGAACUGUAGUGCUAAAUUUAGCUUUUCUCUUUGAGUAGUGAAUUAUAAUGACUCAAAGCAUGAUAAAUGAUGAGAAGGAGAGCACCUUAUCUAAACUCUACGAGAAGGAACCAAUAGAAGAUUUCAUUUUUAAUAAGAUUUUAAAAUUAGCAUUCUAAAGAUUUUAUUAUGUUUCUAUUUCACGGUAACUAGCAGUUGCUAACUCAUGUCUGUGUAUUCAGUUAUGAUUCUUUCAUAUUAUAUUCAUACCAAUUCAACUUUGUUCUUUACAUGCUCCUCCCAAGAAAUUUAAUUAUUUUCUUUUUGAGCAAACUCUACAGAACACAGAAAGUGGAAGGCAAACAAGGAAAGUGUAAAUAGAAAUAGCACCACUCACAAAAAAUGGUAGUUGAUUUAACUGGUAGGUGAUUCUACUUUUCUAAAAUCUGUAUGAGUUGAUGUGAAGUAUGCUUUUGAAUUUAAAAUUAAUAAUUCUUCAGCACAUAGAGCCACUAGAGUGAUUUGAAUUUUGACGUGUCUAUAAAUGAUGCUAACAUGUUGGGUUUGUUCAUUGCCAACUGUCACUUUCCUACAAUUUUCUGGUUACAAUUGGUAUGAACAAAAUGGUUUAUUCAUUCCCUUUAUUUCUAUCUGGAUGUGUUUUGCGUCAAAAUUUCAAAGUACAUGGGGUUUUAUGCAGAUUUAUUUGGUUUUAUAUUUUUUAUUGCUUCUUUCAGGUGUUUCAAAUUGUCAAAUUCCAAUUUCCUAUACUUCUCUCACUAAAUCACUAUGUUGUGAGCUGGUUCUUAUUGGCUCUAUUAAGUACAUUUUCUUUCCUCCCUACAUUUUCUACCUCAAAAUCAACUUCGCUGUCUGCUUUAAUUACUUUUGGAUUUGUUAUGUCUCUAUUUACUAUUAUUGCUAAUGUCAACUUGAAGUAUAUUAGGUAAUCCAACUAUUAAUAUUUUUACUUGAAGUAGCUUUUUAACACUCCUAAUUCAAUAUCUUUAUUUGCAGCAUUGGUUUCUAUUAUAUGGCAAAGAUCGCAGUAACACGUUCAAUAGUUAUGCACUCAUGCAGAAUUUGUUCUGUAUAGGAAGAAAGUUUCUUGGCCCAAUUGUUUGGUUUGCAGGGAUCUAGCUUGACUAGCAAAAUCUUAUCAAAAUGUCUACCUAUAUGGAAGGAGCAAACUGCAUUUCACGUGUCACAUGUGUAUCCAGAUACUUCUCAUUGCAAUGGUAAUCUUUGGGUGACAACGGAACAAUAUGUCUUUCAAACUUCUGCCUCAUUAGGCAUGUAUAAUUUGCUUUAUCUUCCUAUGUUCAUUUCCUUACAUGUUUUUAAUGAAACUUUUUUCUCCAUGAAAUGCAGAUAUACAAAAUAGCUAGAUAUAAACCAGAGUCAUCUGAAGCUACAUAAGAUAUGCAUUGUUAUAUACUUUAUGUAUGGAUCAAAUUUAGUAUAUUAGUCAGAACAUGGAUUGAAGAGAUCCUUUGUGUAUCUGCAAGAAUAAGAAAGCAUUUUCCUCUAUUGUUAUAUGUUGAUAGCUUAAAGAGGUCAGGAGUGAUUACAUGAAAUUUACUGACAAUGUAAAACUUUAUAGUAAUUGUUAUGAAGAUAUAUUGUGCAGUAA